UACGAAGGGGGCUAGCGUUGUUCGGAAUUACUGGGCGUAAAGCGCGCGCAGGCGGCUAUCCAAGUCAGUGGUGAAAGCCCGGAGCUCAACUCCGGAACUGCCAUUGAAACUGUUUAGCUUGAGGACGAGAGAGGUGAGUGGAAUUCCCAGUGUAGAGGUGAAAUUCGUAGAUAUUGGGAAGAACACCGGUGGCGAAGGCGGCUCGCUGGGCAGUGGCUGACGCUGAGGCGCGACAGCGUGGGGAGCAAACAGG
rnacentral:rRNA from 1 species